GCCAGGAGAUGAUGCGGUGCAGUGUGCGUUUUUUGUUUGUGCUGACAAAGGCCUGUGUUGGAGAGGACGUCUAACAGAUCCCAUCUGAUGGCUUCAGUUAUGGAGUUAAUGUCCUGGAACUGACCCGUGACAGACUGUGGGGAUGCAGGAUGUUGCAGAAUUACUCACCCCACAAGGACUUCUUCACAUCGGUUGGUGUCACAAUCUGGAAUGAAAAAACAUUUAUACAGCCUGAACUUUCUCCCUGAUUGGUUUUAGAAAGCUGUUUGGUCAUUGUGGUGUGGUUGCUUGGACGUUCUCUGCCGUACUCGGGAGCCUGGGCUGUGUCCCCAGAUUUUGACACAGAUGGACUAUUUAAUAUAUUGUGUUAUUUCUGAAUGCAUUUGAUCUCACCACAGUUUAUUUGAGCAAAGCAAAGGGGUGAAAACUUAUGCAAUAUGUUUUUUUUGUGUAAUGAAUGCAUUUUUCCUAACAUCAAUACUAUUUAAUACUCUUUGUAGAUCAAUAACAGAACAAAACAAAUUUAGCUCACAUUGUAGCACUACAAAAUGUGCAAAAGUCCACUAUAUAUUUCAUACAUAGUUCUCCUUGACUUAUCUGAAUAAAUAAAUGUUGGGGCAGACCAGAUUGUCGUCUGUGUUGACUGUUUGAGAUUAGUUAUCCCAGACUGAAGAGCAGCCCUCAUAACUGCAGAUCUCUGACCAGCUGAAGUGGUGGAAGCAGUUAUCAGAGGGGAGAUUGAGUGGUUGGGGUCAAAGUUCAGCGUUGGUUUAAGCAGGGCUUAGGUUACACCCACCAACUGGUCUUCCAUCAACGUGAGAGACAGGAAUGUACAAAGACAGACAGAGAGACCGAGAGACAGACAGCAACUACUCACAUGUUGUUGUUCAAAUAUAAGAGAUACAAGAGUCAGCUUAACCAGUUUGUGUUGUGUGUUUGAUUUCUUUUGUGAGCCCACCCAAACACAAAAAAUGCACUGUAAAAAAUGUCUUAUCAGGUAUAUUUAUCUUAUUUUCUUGUUAAAAACCCUACCAUCCUUUAAAUUUU
ensembl:lncRNA